AAACAUACCCAUUUUCCUUUCACUAAUGCAUCAUUUUCCAUUGACCUCAUUUUCCCCCCUCUUGCCAAACACUAAAAACUCGGAAAACAUUGUCCGGAAGUCAUUUUUCGGGUUUCCAAACACACCCUAAAUUACAAUUAUUUAAUGGAAUUUGUU